rnacentral:rRNA from 1 species
ACUCAAAUGAAUAGACGGGGGCCCGCACAAGCGGAGGAGCAUGUGGUUUAAUUCGAUGAUACGCGAGGAACCUUACCCGGGCUUGAAUUGCAGUGGAAUAUUCAGGAAACUGGAUAGUCUUCGGACCACUGUGAAGGUGCUGCAUGGUUGUCGUCAGCUCGUGCCGUGAGGUGUUAGGUUAAGUCCUGCAACGAGCGCAACCCUUACACUUAGUUGCCAGCAUGUAGUGAUGGGGACUCUAGGUGAACUGCCUACGCAAGUAGCGAGGAAGGUGGGGAUGACGUCAAAUCAGCACGGCCCUUAUGUUCGGGGCUACACACGUGCUACAAUGGUCGGUACAGAGGGUCGCUACCCCGCGAGGGGAUGCCAAUCUUCAAAGCCGGUCUCAGUUCGGAUCGGAGUCUGUAACUCGACUCCGUGAAGUUGGAUUCGCUAGUAAUCGCACAUCAGCCAUGGUGCGGUGAAUACGUUCCCGGGCCUUGUACACACCGCCCGU